rnacentral:rRNA from 1 species
CAGUCGAACGCGAAAGUCCCCUUCGGGGGAUAAGUAGAGUGGCGCACGGGUGAGUAACACGUAGGUAAUCUACCUUCGGGUGGGGAAUAACCCAGGGAAACUUGGGCUAACACCGCAUAAUGCAGCGGCACCACAUGGUGACUGUUGUUAAAGCGGGGGAUUUUAGGACCUCGCGCCUGAAGAGGAGCCUGCGGCAGAUUAGCUAGUUGGUAAGGUAACGGCUUACCAAGGCAACGAUCUGUAACCGGCCUGAGAGGGCGGUCGGUCACACUGACACUGACAUACGGGUCAGACUCCUACGGGAGGCAGCAGUCGGGAAUUUUGGGCAAUGGGCGAAAGCCUGACCCAGCAACGCCGCGUGAAGGAUGAAAUCCCUCGGGAUGUAAACUUCGCAAGAAUGGGAAGAAUUAGUAGGGGUUAAUACCCCCUAUGAUGACGGUACCAUUUGUAAGCUCCGGCUAACUCCGUGCCAGCAGCCGCGGUAAUACGGGGGGAGCAAGCGUUGUUCGGAUUUACUGGGCGUAAAGGGCGCGUAGGCGGUCAGCACAAGUCAGUUGUGAAAUCUCCGGGCUUAACUCGGAACGGUCAACUGAUACUGUGCGACUAGAGUGCAGAAGGGGCAACUGGAAUUCUCGGUGUAGCGGUGAAAUGCGUAGAUAUCGAGAGGAACACCUGCGGCGAAGGCGGGUUGCUGGGCUGACACUGACGCUGAGGCGCGAAAGCCAGGGGAGCGAACGGGAUUAGAUACCCCGGUAGUCCUGGCCUUAAACGAUGGAUGCUUGGUGUCUGGAGUUAUAUAGUCUCCGGGUGCCGCAGCUAACGCGUUAAGCAUCCCGCCUGGGGAGUACGGUCGCAAGACUGAAAC